UUUCACUUACAAGUCACUCUUUAGGUGAUGAUGUCUUAUUUUAAGUGUGAUGAGAUAUUUUGACUAGAAAUGAGAAAAAUACACUUGGUAAGAUUUAAAUUUUUGCAGUGUAUCAGAUGCCCGAAAAAGGCAACUUAUUGGCACUAAUGUGAAGGGUGAUACUGAGAUCAGGAUUUCAGCACAUAGGCCAUAGGUGUCUGGUUUAAAGGCAGUGGUUGAGAUACUGUUGUAAUAUAGCUCAGUGAGCUUCAGUGGCAGUUGGUUGCAAGUGGGGUCCACAGAGAAAUGGAAAAGUGAAAAGCAACACCUUUUAAAUAUCUGCAAAAACAUUGUUUAAGGAGAGCCAGCCACCCAUCAGAAUUAUGUGUCUAUUGCAUACCUCCUUUUUUGCACCCUGAUAUUGUCCUGUGGUAAACUCUCCAUUACCCCAUGCAGUGCUGAGAAAUGCAUAUUAAUGGGCUCUGUAUCUGUGAAAGUUGUCUUUGGGAAAGUUGCAGUUUGGUUCCAAAAGCUAUGAUACAUGUGUAUACAACUGGUUCACCACUGCAUCUGGCCCUUGAAGGCUCAUGUUAAAUAUAUUCAAAUAUCUUUUUAUGUCAACUAAGAAUAACAAAUCUGCCAGCCAUACAGGAUUUGAUAAGCCUGGCAUUGGUUGUUCCUUUUCUGCUGAGAAUUUUACCCCUGAGAGAAAGAGAAGGCGCUGCAAAACUGACCCCCAACUGAGCCAUCUUUACACUCUUGUGAUACGCCACAUCUCCAUAUUCAGCCUGGAUGUUGAGUAGGAACUGUUGGAACUGUUGGUGGUGCAGGGCUUUAGAGGGAUAGAAAUGAAUAGUCUUUAGCACUGGUUUCAUAACAUGACCAAAUUUGAGAUGUUUUGUUGGUGAAUAAUACAGUGAAGUUUACUAGUAUAGCCUCUGUCUUUGCUGACUUUGUCACAGAUUAGUGUGUUUAACCCACUUUGUUCAAGCCACGGCAGGUGUGCCAUCCAUAAUAAUUCCACUGAUUUUUACAGUAGUUUCCUAUCAUGAACAAACAGACUCAAAUACAUCUGUUCUUCUUCUUUGAUUCUUAAGAUCCUGGAGGUCAAGUAGCUCUUCAGUUAUGUUGUCAUCAUCAUGAAUGGAAAUGAAAAGCAUGUCAUCUGUCAGUGUUCUCUAACGUUUUCAUGACACAGUCUUUGUUGUUGUUCCCUAACAGUUAAUUUUCAGUAACAGCGUUAUUUGAAUUCCUUAUACAUCACAACAAUCUCUUGGUAGAUUAGGCAAACCCAGUUGUUUUGUAUUUCAGUGAAGAAAUACUGCAACUUCCUCCUGUCCUGGAAGCUGUGACCCUCAGAGUCCACUUGUCUUAUUUUAUCUACCGUUUAAGAAAAUGGCUGGAAAGGGUAGCAGCAAAGGUCAUACAGUCAGAGGGCAGCUACGACCACCAGUCAGUGAACCUGAAAAUUACAUGUUGUACCUGUGUGAUUUGCAUAUUCUGUGUAACAGUGCUGAUAUAUUUUAUGAAAGAGGCUGUGGGCUGUAUACAAUCUGGCAAUGAACCACAAUUGGCCCUCGAACUGGACUUUGCACAUUUCUUCAUAAAAUGCUUUAUUUCCAUGUGUGUGUAGCCAAAACUGCCUCAUUUGACCAAUUGCAAUCAAAUAGGGACUUCACCAUGCCUAAACCUGAGCUUAACUGCUUUACUGUUUUCUUGUGUGUGCAAUUCAGAAUACUGUCUGCUCUAGCUGCUUAGGGAUUUCAUGUACUGUUCUAACUUGCUAGCUUUUUGUUAGUUCACAUUGCUGCAGCAUUUAUACCGUUCACCUGUGGUAGACGAUAGAAUAUACUAUGGACACAAAGAGCUGCUUAAUGUACUGUGCAUUUUACAGCAUAUUAUAAAAAGACUUGCAGUAUCCUUUCCAUACUGCAACACAGAUUUGAUCAGAAACCUGAGUGAGAUGUUAUGUUUAUGUUGUCACUUUCCAUUGGUAUCUGUAUUUCCUCCCCUCUGCUGCUUCACUUUCACUGCAACAGUCUCUACCAGAGGCUUUUGGCUUUUACAGCGCAUCGUGCUGCCUGUCUCUCCUUCUUUUAUCAGCCCAGCUUUGCCCUUUAUGUUUGUUCCUCCUGUAUUUGAUGAAUGUCAUUGCCUUUGCCCUAUUCAAUUAGUUUAACAGGGGCGAGGGGGCACAAUGUGGAUGAAUAACACAGUCCCGUGGCACAGCAUAGGAUUUCACUGCAUACUGUAUGAAUGUAGUAGGAAAGUGGUGUGUUUGGAGAAAUGACACACCCCCCUCCACGUAUAUUGAUUCUGAAUAUUAUGGGAGCCACUUGAGGUGAACUGAUUUAAUUAUUUACACACUGGUGCACAGAGAGGUGAUUAAAGCACCAUAAGUAUUUGUUAAUAAGGCUGACCACUGCACAAUGUUCUGAUUAAAAACUUGACUGAGUUGACAGGGUUUUUUUUUUAAUGAUGGUCCGCAAUGAAAAUCACAUUUUACAUGCUCUCUUUCUCUUGUAGGUGCUCUGCCUGUCUUUUUUUCACACGUUUUCAUUCACUGUCCAUUUCCACUUUUCAUUGCACAUCAUAAAUGUUCUUACUUAAACGUCUACUCAACUCACCUAAUUCAUCAAUGAUGCUGAAAUGAGCAGAGAAAAAAACUUGACUGCCUCUGUGCAACUCAUCCGUGGACAUCUGAUUCAAUUAUUUAUGAUUAAAGACUUUUAUAUUGUCCGU